rnacentral:rRNA from 1 species
UGCUAAUCUGCGAUAAGCGUCGGUAAGGUGAUAUGAACCGUUAUAACCGGCGAUUUCCGAAUGGGGAAACCCAGUGUGUUUCGACACACUAUCAUUAACUGAAUCCAUAGGUUAAUGAGGCGAACCGGGGGAACUGAAACAUCUAAGUACCCCGAGGAAAAGAAAUCAACCGAGAUUCCCCCAGUAGCGGCGAGCGAACGGGGAGCAGCCCAGAGCCUGAAUCAGUGUGUGUGUUAGUGGAAGCGUCUGGAAAGGCGUGCGAUACAGGGUGACAGCCCCGUACACAAAAAUGCACAUGCUGUGAGCUCGAUGAGUAGGGCGGGACACGUGGUAUCCUGUCUGAAUAUGGGGGGACCAUCCUCCAAGGCUAAAUACUCCUGACUGACCGAUAGUGAACCAGUACCGUGAGGGAAAGGCGAAAAGAACCCCGGCGAGGGGAGUGAAAAAGAACCUGAAACCGUGUACGUACAAGCAGUGGGAGCACGCUUAGGCGUGUGACUGCGUACCUUUUGUAUAAUGGGUCAGCGACUUAUAUUCUGUAGCAAGGUUAACCGAAUAGGGGAGCCGAAGGGAAACCGAGUCUUAACUGGGCGUUAAGUUGCAGGGUAUAGACCCGAAACCCGGUGAUCUAGCCAUGGGCAGGUUGAAGGUUGGGUAACACUAACUGGAGGACCGAACCGACUAAUGUUGAAAAAUUAGCGGAUGACUUGUGGCUGGGGGUGAAAGGCCAAUCAAACCGGGAGAUAGCUGGUUCUCCCCGAAAGCUAUUUAGGUAGCGCCUCGUGAAUUCAUCUCCGGGGGUAGAGCACUGUUUCGGCAAGGGGGUCAUCCCGACUUACCAACCCGAUGCAAACUGCGAAUACCGGAGAAUGUUAUCACGGGAGACACACGGCGGGUGCUAACGUCCGUCGUGAAGAGGGAAACAACCCAGACCGCCAGCUAAGGUCCCAAAGUCAUGGUUAAGUGGGAAACGAUGUGGGAAGGCCCAGACAGCCAGGAUGUUGGCUUAGAAGCAGCCAUCAUUUAAAGAAAGCGUAAUAGCUCACUGGUCGAGUCGGCCUGCGCGGAAGAUGUAACGGGGCUAAACCAUGCACCGAAGCUGCGGCAGCGACGCUUAUGCGUUGUUGGGUAGGGGAGCGUUCUGUAAGCCUGCGAAGGUGUGCUGUGAGGCAUGCUGGAGGUAUCAGAAGUGCGAAUGCUGACAUAAGUAACGAUAAAGCGGGUGAAAAGCCCGCUCGCCGGAAGACCAAGGGUUCCUGUCCAACGUUAAUCGGGGCAGGGUGAGUCGACCCCUAAGGCGAGGCCGAAAGGCGUAGUCGAUGGGAAACAGGUUAAUAUUCCUGUACUUGGUGUUACUGCGAAGGGGGGACGGAGAAGGCUAUGUUGGCCGGGCGACGGUUGUCCCGGUUUAAGCGUGUAGGCUGGUUUUCCAGGCAAAUCCGGAAAAUCAAGGCUGAGGCGUGAUGACGAGGCACUACGGUGCUGAAGCAACAAAUGCCCUGCUUCCAGGAAAAGCCUCUAAGCAUCAGGUAACAUCAAAUCGUACCCCAAACCGACACAGGUGGUCAGGUAGAGAAUACCAAGGCGCUUGAGAGAACUCGGGUGAAGGAACUAGGCAAAAUGGUGCCGUAACUUCGGGAGAAGGCACGCUGAUAUGUAGGUGAAGUCCCUCGCGGAUGGAGCUGAAAUCAGUCGAAGAUACCAGCUGGCUGCAACUGUUUAUUAAAAACACAGCACUGUGCAAACACGAAAGUGGACGUAUACGGUGUGACGCCUGCCCGGUGCCGGAAGGUUAAUUGAUGGGGUCAGCGCAAGCGAAGCUCUUGAUCGAAGCCCCGGUAAACGGCGGCCGUAACUAUAACGGUCCUAAGGUAGCGAAAUUCCUUGUCGGGUAAGUUCCGACCUGCACGAAUGGCGUAAUGAUGGCCAGGCUGUCUCCACCCGAGACUCAGUGAAAUUGAACUCGCUGUGAAGAUGCAGUGUACCCGCGGCAAGACGGAAAGACCCCGUGAACCUUUACUAUAGCUUGACACUGAACAUUGAGCCUUGAUGUGUAGGAUAGGUGGGAGGCUUUGAAGUGUGGACGCCAGUCUGCAUGGAGCCGACCUUGAAAUACCACCCUUUAAUGUUUGAUGUUCUAACGUUGACCCGUAAUCCGGGUUGCGGACAGUGUCUGGUGGGUAGUUUGACUGGGGCGGUCUCCUCCUAAAGAGUAACGGAGGAGCACGAAGGUUGGCUAAUCCUGGUCGGACAUCAGGAGGUUAGUGCAAUGGCAUAAGCCAGCUUGACUGCGAGCGUGACGGCGCGAGCAGGUGCGAAAGCAGGUCAUAGUGAUCCGGUGGUUCUGAAUGGAAGGGCCAUCGCUCAACGGAUAAAAGGUACUCCGGGGAUAACAGGCUGAUACCGCCCAAGAGUUCAUAUCGACGGCGGUGUUUGGCACCUCGAUGUCGGCUCAUCACAUCCUGGGGCUGAAGUAGGUCCCAAGGGUAUGGCUGUUCGCCAUUUAAAGUGGUACGCGAGCUGGGUUUAGAACGUCGUGAGACAGUUCGGUCCCUAUCUGCCGUGGGCGCUGGAGAACUGAGGGGGGCUGCUCCUAGUACGAGAGGACCGGAGUGGACGCAUCACUGGUGUUCGGGUUGUCAUGCCAAUGGCACUGCCCGGUAGCUAAAUGCGGAAGAGAUAAGUGCUGAAAGCAUCUAAGCACGAAACUUGCCCCGAGAUGAGUUCUCCCUGACUCCUUGAGAG